UAAUGCCACACAAUAUUGGAGCAAAUCCAUACAGGACGCAUGCGUUCUAUCGUAGGAAGAUUAAUCUGCUACAAGCGCAUCUAAGACCACGCGUUUUGUGCAGGGUCGUAUUCCCGGAUGUGGAUUGGUUGAAAUUAUAUUCCAUGCAGGAAGACAACGUUGAAUUGUUGAACGUUGACAACUUCGAACACGGCAAAUAACAUCGACUAGAGAAGAGGACAUUUUUGCAUUGCUUUUUAAGCUCUCGGUGCGUUUCUGAAUAUUGGGUAAAAUGGUCAGAUUGGACCUUGGUGAUGUAGUUUUGCGCAGGAUGCAAGGCCACUAUCACCUCAGAAGGAACUUGGUGGAUCGAAAUAAUGAGAAGAUACGUCCUGGAGAGGAAGGAUGAACCACCUGAUUAUUAACCUUGUGACUCGUCCGCUCGCUCUCUUCAUGCUGGCCACCCUCUCCUCUGUCCUCCGCUGUGUGCUGCACUCAUUUAUCAUGGCCUUGGGCAUUCCCUGUCUUCAUCUGCAUCAUCUAGGCUUUAUUUGCUAGAGAAGGCAACAUUUAAUUUAAGUAAUAUUCUGGGUUCAAUACGCGUUAAGAUCAAUAAACCUGUGGUGUAAUGUUAAAGGUGACCAUGAAAAAUAUUUUAAGGUGAUUUUAUAAAAGGAAACAAUUGUUCAAACUUGCGUGUGUUAGACAGUAUGUCAAAACAAGUGCAUUUAUUUAAUGAAUGCCAAAAGAUUAUUAAAUCAUUUUACAAUCAUUUAAAGUGUACUUUAAAGUAAAACUAAUAAUUUGAUAUUGCACUUAAGUUUGUUAAGAAACAUGGUAAUGUAAGUGUACUAUCUUUAUACUUAAAUGACCUUCUAUAAUACAAUGUACAUCCGAAUGUAACUGAAAAUUACUUGUUCUGUAUGAAAAUGAUUAGUUCACAAUUAGAUCCAUAACAUGCAUUUAGAAAAUGGAUCAUGCAAUGUCAAAUUUAAAGACAUUUCAACUUGUCUCUUGUUUUUUGAGCUAAUCAGCAUUAUGUGCUGUUGAUUGAGCUCAACUCAUCUUGAACCUGGAAUAUUCCUUUAAAAAAGCUUCAGAUUUCAGAUUCAUAAAUGGAUUAGUUUAUUUUCACAUUGUCCCAGUGAAUCACUGACACCAGGAUCCUCUCUGGUUUUGCCGCUAUACAUAUUAUCUUAUAAAAAUCACUUAUAUUAUAAUAAAUGCGUAAGAGCAUUUUAAUGUUUUUGAAGAUAACAUAAAUCAUCUCUGGGUUUCAAAGCCUAAACCAUGAAGCUGCUAGAAGAGCCUAGGCCUGAAAGGACAAUCAGUCAUCUGAGUUAUUGUUUAUAGCAUGGAUUGCUUUUAAAUUUACUUUUUGGAGGAGAGAAAUCACAAAGAUUGCGAUUUACAUGUGUUUAUUUUAUUUAUGAAGUCAAUUUGAGAGUUUUUGUGAAAGCAUUUUGUAUGUUUCCUUUGACUGCUGAUGAAUAAGCUUUUUAAAAGUAUAAAUAAAGUUUUUUUCCCCCAGGUUUCUCAUGCCAUUAAAUUAAAUGCUAAAACACACUUAAUUAAACAGUUUACUAGUAAAUGCAAAGAAUGACUAUCUCCUCAGUAUGGACCUUUUGAUGUGUUUCUACCAAGCAUGGUUAUCUGUUUUUCUGCUUCACUGAUCUUUCUGUACCAAUAGAUCUGUGGUUUUGCUGCACUGAAAUGCUCUGAUAGAUUUUACCAGAACCUAGGAACAACACGACAUGAUACAAACUCAAAUUGAGUUCAGUGUCUCAUAUCCAGCCUUUUUGCUUUAAAUUUGUUGCAGAGACAUUGCAAGUUACAGUUAACUCUUGCAUGCUACUCCAAAUUUGUGUGGGUGGAUACAGUUUAGUGACGCUGAGUGUAUUUGAAACUAAGAGCUGCUCAUGCUGUGUGGUUGGCUUAAAACACCAGCUAUACCUUAACCACUCGCACUACUACCCAACAGCACCUAAGGCUGUCAUUCACCACCGGAUGUUUAUACAGUUCACUGUGUGGUUGAGUUGAUGCUCACCUGCAACAGAAGGUUGCAUUGUCACUGCUAAGGCUUUCACUACUAACUUACCCCAAACAUUUAACUAUUGUUGAGAAACCACUGUUGUGAAAAAGGAAGCUUUAGCAGGAUUUCACAGCAUAGGUUUAAAUUAAAGAAUGCUUAUGGUGACAAUACACUUUGAAAGAAUAUACUGAAACUGAAUGUGAUGUUUUCAAAUUAGAUGUAAAUGUAUCAUUUUUGGGUGAACUCUUCCUUUAAGCACAUUUUUACAUUUACAUUUAGUCAUUUAGCAAACACUUUUAUCCAAAGCGACUUACAAAUGAGGACAAUGAAAGCAAUCAAAAUCAACAAAAGAGCAAUGAUAUACAAGUGUUAUAACAAGUCUCACUUAG